rnacentral:rRNA from 1 species
GAGUUUGAUCGUGGCUCAGGAUGAACGCUGGCGGCGUGCCUAAUACAUGCAAGUCGAACGAACAGAUAAGGAGCUUGCUCCUUUGACGUUAGCGGCGGACGGGUGAGUAACACGUGGGUAACCUACCUAUAAGACUGGAAUAACUCCGGGAAACCGGGGCUAAUGCCGGAUAACAUGUUGAACCGCAUGGUUCUACAGUGAAAGACGGUCUUGCUGUCACUUAUAGAUGGACCCGCGCCGUAUUAGCUAGUUGGUGGGGUAACGGCCUACCAAGGCGACGAUACGUAGCCGACCUGAGAGGGUGAUCGGCCACACUGGAACUGAGACACGGUCCAGACUCCUACGGGAGGCAGCAGUAGGGAAUCUUCCGCAAUGGGCGAAAGCCUGACGGAGCAACGCCGCGUGAGUGAUGAAGGUCUUCGGAUCGUAAAGCUCUGUUGUUAGGGAAGAACAAAUGUGUAAGUAACUGUGCAUAUCUUGACGGUACCUAACCAGAAAGCCACGGCUAACUACGUGCCAGCAGCCGCCGU